rnacentral:lncRNA from 1 species
CGGGCUUUCAAAUACCAGUUUCUCAGAACCAGUAAUGGAAUCACAUUGAUGACCCAAUCCAAUUGAUUACUCAAAGGAUUAUUAGAAGCAGUUUUCCAUGUUCGACAAAGAUGAUUGUGAUUCGAAGAAGAUUCCAUUGAAGACUAAUUUGGUACUACUAACAGUGGAUUUUGAAGAAGGUACUUCAGGCCUUGAUCUGAGUAAUUACUCCGACUUGAUUAUCGGAUCACCAGAUCAGGAUGGGAAUUUGCUACAUCUACAAUGAAGCAUCUUUCCAGGGCUCGGAAUGUCAACUUUGAAUGGCACCACUAGUAGUAGGAAAAGAGAAGUUUUUGCAGAAGAAUCUUCAAGGGAUUUCAAUCUAACUCAGUGAUUCAGGGAUAUACAAUUACACAGUGAAUUGUAUCAAUGCUAAAUCCAUCCAGAAUCAACUGAAUCAAAGACAGAGAACUGUGGAGGUUUAAGGAUAUAAUUAUCGAGUUACUACCGCACCAAAUCAGUUUCGUGCAUUUAUGUCAGAACCUUAGGAUUGAACAGAAGAGUUUGUAACUGCUGAAUUUGAGGAAGCUCAAGUCGACGAAAGUUAACACUUUUGAAGAAUGUGAGGACAGAACUUCAAGGAUUAGCAUAACACUGUCUGAGAGGUUUAGUCAUGUCAGAUUCAGAUGGAAUCCAUUGGUUUCGAGUGGAGACUCUUCUGGGUUCAGUUCGACAGGUUGUUUGAAAACUGAGUUGGUCA